rnacentral:misc_RNA from 1 species
AGUCAGGUGGACAGCAGGCUG